rnacentral:snRNA from 1 species
UGUCCUCCACAGGAGGUCUAUAUUGAGCAGAUUCUUUUUGGUAUUGGGUGGUGGAACCGGAGCGUGCUCCAUCCACUCCAUGCAUUGACCUGGUAUAACAGUGCUUCCAGGACCGGUGC